ACAAAUCAACAAAGGCCACGAGAC
rnacentral:siRNA from 1 species